AGCUAGUUGGUGAGGUAACGGCCCACCAAGGCGACGAUCGGUAGCCGGACUGAGAGGUUGAACGGCCACAUUGGGACUGAGACACGGCCCAGACUCCUACGGGAGGCAGCAGUGGGGAAUAUUGCACAAUGGGGGAAACCCUGAUGCAGCGACGCCGCGUGGAGGAAGAAGGUCUUGGGAUUGUAAACUCCUGUUGUUGAGGAAGAUAAUGACGGUACUCAACAAGGAAGUGACGGCUAACUACGUGCCAGCAGCCGCGGUAAAACGUAGGUCACAAGCGUUGUCCGGAAUUACUGGGUGUAAAGGGAGCGCAGGCGGGAAGACAAGUUGGAAGUGAAAUCCAUGGGCUUAACCCAUGAACUGCUUUCAAAACUGUUUUUCUUGAGUAGUGCAGAGGUAGGCGGAAUUCCCGGUGUAGCGGUGGAAUGCGUAGAUAUCGGGAGGAACACCAGUUGCGAAGGCGGCCUACUGGGCACCAACUGACGCUGAGGCUCGAAAGUGUGGGUAGCAAACAGGAUUAGAUACCCUGGUAGUCCACACUGUAAACGAUGAUUACUAGGUGUUGGAGGAUUGACCCCUUCAGUGCCGCAGUUAACACAAUAAGUAAUCCACCUGGGGAGUACGACCGCAAGGUUGAAACUCAAAGGAAUUGACGGGGGCCCGCACAAGCAGUGGAGUAUGUGGUUUAAUUCGACGCAACGCGAAGAACCUUACCAAGUCUUGACAUCCGUUGACCGCUGUAGAAAUACAGUUUUCCUUCGGGACAGCGAGACAGGUGGUGCAUGGUUGUCGUCAGCUCGUGUCGUGAGAUGUUGGGUUAAGUCCCGCAACGAGCGCAACCCUUAUGGUCAGUUACUACGCAAGAGGACUCUGGCCAGACUGCCGUUUACAAAACGGAGGAAGGUGGGGAUGACGUCAAAUCAUCAUGCCCUUUAUGACUUGGGCUACACACGUACUACAAUGGCGUUAAACAAAGAGAAGCAAGACCGCGAGGUGGAGCAAAACUCAGAAACAACGUCCCAGUUCGGACUGCAGGCUGCAACUCGCCUGCACGAAGUCGGAACUGCUAGUAAUCGUGGAUCAGCAUGCCACGGUGAAUACGUUCCCGGGCCUUGUACACACCGCCCGUCACACCAUGAGAGCCGGGGGGACCCGAAGUCGGUAGUCUAACCGCAAGGAGGACGCCGCCGAAGGUAAAACUGGUGAUUGGGGUGAAGUCGUAACAAGGUAGCCGUAGGAGAACCUGCGGCUG
rnacentral:rRNA from 1 species